AACCACAACCAGUCUGGUCUUGCCUGGCAUCGCCACACUCACAGUCUGAAGCGUGUCUGCCUAGCUGCAGCCCGGUGAACACUUCUCACCCACCUCCCAGCGACUUGCUCUCCUCCCGGCAUCACUCCCAGGCAGGGAAAGCGCUAAAAUGAGGGCACGUCCCUCAGGAAAGGGAGCCACGGCCCUCAGCAAGGGCUUCCUCAGAAGAAAUCUCAUACCUGACUUAACAUUGAGGCAUCCAGUAAGAAGAGACAAAAGAAAAAACCCCACAAGCCCACUUACUCAAUGAAAUGAAGCUAAUGACAACGUCUGCUUUGAAGAAAGACUGAUGUGGAUGUACUGCUACUAAAAAUGGACCAGCACCAGGUCAUCACACCCAGUGUGACAAGUAGCUGGCUGCCCAGGCAGUUCGAAGACGGCCGUGUGUCCUGUAUCUGCAAGGAGACUGCAGUCAUGGGCGCACCAAGCAGGAGCAGCACACGCUUCACCAAUAUGACUGAGCAGAAAUACCUCUGAGCGUUUAGCUGGGCUUUCUAUUUUAAGAACUGAUAUGAUUCAC